CUGCAAGUUUGAUUCAUGGCUCAGGAUGAACGCUGGCGGCGUGCCUAAUACAUGCAAGUCGAGCGAACAGACAAGGAGCUUGCUCCUUUGACGUUAGCGGCGGACGGGUGAGUAACACGUGGGUAACCUACCUAUAAGACUGGGAUAACUUCGGGAAACCGGAGCUAAUACCGGAUAAUAUUUCGAACCGCAUGGUUCGAUAGUGAAAGAUGGUUUUGCUAUCACUUAUAGAUGGACCCGCGCCGUAUUAGCUAGUUGGUAAGGUAACGGCUUACCAAGGCGACGAUACGUAGCCGACCUGAGAGGGUGAUCGGCCACACUGGAACUGAGACACGGUCCAGACUCCUACGGGAGGCAGCAGUAGGGAAUCUUCCGCAAUGGGCGAAAGCCUGACGGAGCAACGCCGCGUGAGUGAUGAAGGUCUUCGGAUCGUAAAACUCUGUUAUUAGGGAAGAACAUACRUGUAAGUAACUAUGCACGUCUUGACGGUACCUAAUCAGAAAGCCACGGCUAACUACGUGCCAGCAGCCGCGGUAAUACGUAGGUGGCAAGCGUUAUCCGGAAUUAUUGGGCGUAAAGCGCGCGUAGGCGGUUUUUUAAGUCUGAUGUGAAAGCCCACGGCUCAACCGUGGAGGGUCAUUGGAAACUGKAAAACUUGAGUGCAGAAGAGGAAAGUGGAAUUCCAUGUGUAGCGGUGAAAUGCGCAGAGAUAUGGAGGAACACCAGUGGCGAAGGCGACUUUCUGGUCUGUAACUGACGCUGAUGUGCGAAAGCGUGGGGAUCAAACAGGAUUAGAUACCCUGGUAGUCCACGCCGUAAACGAUGAGUGCUAAGUGUUAGGGGGUUUCCGCCCCUUAGUGCUGCAGCUAACGCAUUAAGCACCCGCCCG
rnacentral:rRNA from 1 species